AUUUUUUAAAAGUGAUAUUUUAUCCUAGUCUAUAGUGUUUUUCCAAUUUGUUUAAGAAGUCUUUAUCUUGUUGUAACUGUUAUUGUCUUAUUAACCUCAUUGUCUUAGUUAUCAAGAUGAAAAUUCACAAGUUUUUUUUUUCUUUUUUUUUUUUUAUGAUGGAAGAUUCCAAGUUGGGGGCGGGGGUGCUCCUGGCCUCAGUGGCCUGUCCCUCUCUGUCAGCACUCGGGCGUCACCACCCCGCCCCCACCCCACUGUGAGGCAGAUCCCAGACAGCUGCCCGUCCGUCCAUCACGAUGAUGUAUCUACAGCAGACAAGGACCCUGCAGCGCAGCCCACGCCAGCCUCCUCCCUGCCACGGCUGGCGAUAGUUCCCAGGGUCCUUCUGUAGUCAUCAGUAUUCAAUUUCCUACAAUAUCUUACUUAAAAGAAAUGAUCCUUUCCUUUAUGGCAUAUGCUAUUUUGGGCUCCUUUAAGAAAUUGGGCCUACUUCACGGUUGAACAAGGAGGAGUUCUCCUACGUCUCCUCCCAACAGUUCAAUUCUUUCCUGCUUAGGUUUCUGACCUCUGACAGGUUUGCUGGCUGCGGUUGGCUGGGAUCCUUUGUGAUUUGUUUUCCCAGCUGUGCGCCAUGGCCUUGGCCAGUCCACCCUCCCACUGUGGAUCCACAGUGCCCUCCGGCUUCCUGGAAGGACUCUCAGAACCCGCAGAGUCUGGCCCCACGGUGGCGCUGGCUGGGGAACGUGGCCUGGCCGUCCUCUCUCUGGGCCUUGGAUCCCUGCCUCUCCCUUCUCCAGGUCCAGUCCCACUCUCACCCUGAGCGUGACUCUGCUUCUUAGUUCUAAGAGCAAACAUUUUCUUAAGGAGGGAACAUUCCUGUAUAUAACCACGGUCACCGCACCUUAAUCACACCUUAUAAAACUGACACCAAGAUGGGCACCUGGCUCAGGAGGCCAAGGCAGGAGGAUUGAGAGCUCAAGGCCAGCCUCAGCAAUUUAGCAAGGCCCUGAGCAACUCAGUGAAACCCUGUCUCUAAGUAAAAUACAAACAAGGGCUGGGAUGUGGCUCAGUGGUUAAGCCGCGGGGUUCAAUCCCUAGUACAAAACAAACAAACAAAUAAGAAUAAAAUGGGUACUACUGCAUAGUAUAAAGUGAUGAGCGCUGUCAUCCAUAUUCACUUUCCUGCUUGUCUUUGUGUCUCUUCUAGCGGUUCUCAAUUCUGAACCACGACUUAGGUGAAUUUGUUUUUCUUUUGUAUCUCUUAAUCUAGAACUGUCUCACUGCCUUUUUUUCUUUUUACAUUUUGAGUUUUGGUGCUAGGCAUAUAAAACAGGUGAGGAAUAUUCCCAUAUUUGCUAUGCUACCAAUUAGUCAAUUUUGUGUUUUCAAAUUUAUUAGCCUAAAAUUGUUCACAGUAAUUUUUUUUUCCUGAGACAAAUCCUUUUUAUUUUAUUUUAUUUUUUUAGUAGUUGAUAGAACUUUAUUUAUUUGUGUGUGGUGCUUAGAAUCAAACCCAGGGCCUCACACAGGCUAGGCCAGCUCUCUACCACUGAGCUACAGCCCCAGCCCCCACAGGAGAAAAAUCUUAUGUAUCCAUUGACUUAAGUAAAUAAAAGGAACCCAGGGCCAUGCCUUGCUUGGCCUGUGCUCUACCCCUGAGCUGGGGUGUCCCAGCUAAACGGAGCAUCUUCAGAUGCCUUUCCUUGGGGACCUGGUUUCUGGUUGACACGUGUUUUUCAUUGUUUCCUUUUGGUUAACCCGUUGGGCUGGAGCUGUGCCUAAUUCAUGACUCUUCAAGGAAGCCAAUUUUAAUCUUUUGGGAUUUUCCCCAAUGCAUGUCUUCUUGUCCUUGUUUUCUCUGUGUCGGGCUUGCUGUGGCCUGAAUGCUGGUGUCCCCCCAGUUCAUGUGUGGACCCCUCGUCCCCAGGUGAUGAUGAUAUUGGGAGGUGAGGCCUCUGGGAGGUGCAGAGGUCGUGAGGGUGGAGAGCUCAUGACAGGGAUUAGCGCCCUCAUAAAAGAGGUCCCAGGGAGGUGUCUCCUCCCUCCGUGGUGUGAGGACACAGGAGAAGGCACCCACUGUGAGACAAAAAGUGCCCCCCACCAGACUCUGAGCCUUCCUUCAUCUUGUUCUUGGCUUCUCAGCCUCCAGAACUAGGAGAACCACACCUCAGUUUAUGAGUCAC
rnacentral:lncRNA from 1 species